rnacentral:rRNA from 1 species
CCUACGGGAGGCUGCAGUGGGGGAUAUUGCACAAUGGGGGAAACCCUGAUGCAGCGACGCCGCGUGGGCGAAGAAGUAUUUCGGUAUGUAAAGCCCUAUCAGCAGGGAAGAAGAAAUGACGGUACCUGAGUAAGAAGCACCGGCUAAAUACGUGCCAGCAGCCGCGGUAAUACGUAUGGUGCAAGCGUUAUCCGGAUUUACUGGGUGGAAAGGGAGCGCAGGCGGCACGGCAAGCCUGAUGUGAAAGCCCGCGGCCCAACCGCGGGACUGCAUUGGGAACUACCGGGCUGGAGUGCCGGAGAGGUAGGCGGAAGUCCUAGUGGAGCGGUGAAAUGCGUAGAUAUUAGGAGGAACACCAGUGGCGAAGGCGGCCUACUGGACGGUGACUGACGCUGAGGCUCGAAAGCGUGGGGAGCAAACAGGAUUAGAUACCCUUGUAGUC